GAUGAAGAACGUAGUGAAAUGCGAUAAGUAGUGUGAAUUGCAGAAUUCAGUAAAUCAUCGAAUCUUUGAACGCACAUUGCGCCCCUUGGUAUCCCGAGGGGCAUGCCUGUUCGAGCGUCAUUUCACCACUCAAGCCUGGCUUGGUGUUGGGCGACGUCCCCUUUAGGGACGCGCCUCGAAACGCUCGGCGGCGCGGCACCGGCUUUAAGCGUAGCAGAAUCUUUCGCUUUGGAAGUCGGGGCCCCGCCUGCCGGAAUACCUACUUGUAAGGUUGACCUCGGAUCAGGCAGGGAUACCCGCUGAACUUAAGCAUAUCAAUAAGCGGAGGA
rnacentral:misc_RNA from 1 species